GGGCCUAUAGCUCAGCUUGGUUAGAGCGCUGGUCUUAUAAGCCAGAGGUCGACGGUUCAAAUCCGUCUAGGCCCA
rnacentral:tRNA from 1 species